rnacentral:rRNA from 1 species
UACGAAGGGUGCAAGCGUUACUCGGAAUUACUGGGCGUAAAGGGCGCGUAGGCGGUUCGAUAAGUCCCGUGUGAAAUCCCUCGGCUCAACUGAGGAACUGCACGGGAAACUGACGGGCUUGAGUUCGGGAGAGGGAAGCGGAAUUCCGGGUGUAGCGGUGAAAUGCGUAGAUAUCCGGAGGAACACCGGUGGCGAAGGCGGCUCCUGGACCGACACUGACGCUGAGGCGCGAAAGCUAGGGGAGCAAACGGG